rnacentral:rRNA from 1 species
GACGAACGCUGGCGGCGUGCCUAAUACAUGCAAGUAGAACGCACAGUUUAUACCGUAGCUUGCUACACCAUAGACUGUGAGUUGCGAACGGGUGAGUAACGCGUAGGUAACCUGCCUGGUAGCGGGGGAUAACUAUUGGAAACGAUAGCUAAUACCGCAUAAUAUUAAUUAUUGCAUGAUAAUUAAUUGAAAGGUGCAAUUGCACCACUACCAGAUGGACCUGCGUUGUAUUAGCUAGUAGGUGAGGUAACGGCUCACCUAGGCGACGAUACAUAGCCGACCUGAGAGGGUGAUCGGCCACACUGGGACUGGGACACGGCCCAGACUCCUACGGGAGGCAGCAGUAGGGAAUCUUCGGCAAUGGACGAAAGUCUGACCGAGCAACGCCGCGUGAGUGAAGAAGGUUUUCGGAUCGUAAAGCUCUGUUGUAAGAGAAGAAAGGGUGUGAGAGUGGAAAGUUCACACUGUGACGGUAUCUUACCAGAAAGGGACGGCUAACUACGUG